AUUGAACGCUGGCGGCCGGCCUAACACAUGCAAGUAGAACGAGUGGCAGACGGGUGAGUAAUGUUUGGGAAACUGCCCGAUGGAGGGGGAUAACUACUGGAAACGGUAGCUAAUACCGCAUACCAUCGGAUGUGCCCAGAUGGGAUUAGCUAGUAGGUGGGGUACCGGCUCACCUAGGCGACGAUCACUAGCUGGUCUGAGAGGAUGACCAGCCACACUGGAACUGAGACACGGGCCAGACUCCUACGGUAGGCAGCAGGGGGGAAUAUUGCACAAUGGGCGCAAGCCUGAUGCAGCCAUGCCGCGUGUAUGAAGAAGGCCUGCGGGUUGUAAAGUACUUUCAGCGAGGAGGCGUUACUCGCAGAAGAAGCACCGGCUAACUCCGUGCCAGCAGCCGCGGUAAUAC
rnacentral:rRNA from 1 species